AUAUCAAUAAGCGGAGGAAAAGAAACCAACAGGGAUUGCCUCAGUAACGGCGAGUGAAGCGGCAACAGCUCAAAUUUGAAAUCUGGCUCCUUGGGGGCCCGAGUUGUAAUUUGUAGAGGAUGCUUCGGGCAAGGCCCCGGUCUAAUUUGCUUGGAACAGCGAGUCAUAGAGGGUGAGAAUCCCGUCUAGGAUCGGGCGCCGCGUCCAUGUGAAGCUCCUUCGACGAGUCGAGUUGUUUGGGAAUGCAGCUCUAAAUGGGUGGUAAAUUUCAUCUAAAGCUAAAUAUUGGCCAGAGACCGAUAGCGCACAAGUAGAGUGAUCGAAAGAUGAAAAGCACUUUGAAAAGAGAGUUAAACAGUAUGUGAAAUUGUUGAAAGGGAAGCGCUUGCAACCAGACUUGCGUGUGACGGUUCCCCCGACCUUCUGGCCGGGCUAUUCCGUCAUGUCCAGGCCAGCAUCGGUUUGGGUGGUCGGUGAAAGGCCCCGGGAAUGUAUCUACCUUCGGGUCGACUUAUAGCCCGGGGUGCAAUGCGGCCUACCCGGACCGAGGAACGCGCUCCGGCUCGGAUGCUGGCGUAAUGGUUGCAAGCGGCCCGUCUUGAAACACGGACCAAGGAGUCUAACAUCUAUGCGAGUGUUUGGGUGUCAAACCCCGGCGCGGAAUGAAAGUGAACGGAGGUAAGAACCCCGUCAAGGGGCGCAUUAUCGACCGAUCCUGAUGUCUUCGGAUGGAUUUGAGUAAGAGCAUGGCUGUUGGGACCCGAAAGAUGGUGAACUAUGCCUGAAUAGGGUGAAGCCAGAGGAAACUCUGGUGGAGGCUCGCAGCGGUUCUGACGUGCAAAUCGAUCGUCAAAUUUGGGCAUAGGGGCGAAAGACUAAUCGAACCAUCCUUAUGGCAUCUUGUAAAGAAACAGAUGUGUGACCUAUUAUCUUUUAAGCGGUUGCCAGGUGGUUAAUUUCCUACCUUUUCAGUUAGGUCAGUCUGAUAUUUUGGUAUUGGGCGACGUCGUCAGUCUUCGGGGAUGUCCUCACGGCUAUCCGAAGCCGUCCUCAUCUUGGGACGGUUCACAGACUAGACAAUGACGGCCGGAUCCUCUUAGCCGGGGACGGUGAUUAUAUAGUCGAGUAAAGUUAUCGGAGGAUCUUGCGAGUGUCUUUUAACCGGAGUGCUCGGUAGACUGUACGUUUUUUAUGUACGCCUUUUUUGGGGUUUCUGAACUUCGUUUAGGGUUGGUCUUUGGAGAGAAUCCUGUAGCUUUCAACGCUGGUAGCUGGUUCCUGUCGAAGUUUCCCUCAGGAUAGCAGUAACGUUUUCAGUUUUAUGAGGUAAAGCGAAUGAUUAGAGGCCUUGGGGUUGAAACAACCUUAACCUAUUCUCAAACUUUAAAUAUGUAAGAAGUCCUUGUUACUUGAUUGAACGUGGACAUUUGAAUGUAUCGUUACUAGUGGGCCAUUUUUGGUAAGCAGAACUGGCGAUGCGGGAUGAACCGAACGUGAGGUUAAGGUGCCGGAAUGUACGCUCAUCAGACACCACAAAAGGUGUCAAUGCAUCCAGACAGCCGGACGGUGGCCAUGGAAGUCGGAAUCCGCUUAGGAGUGUGUAACAACUCACCGGCCGAAUGCAUUGGCCCUGAAAAUGGAUGGCGCUUAAGCGUGCUACCUAUACCUCGCCGUUGGGGUUGAAAUGAUGCCCCAACGAGUAGGCAGGCGUGGGGGUUUGUGACGAAGCCUCGGGGGUGACCCUGGGUCGAACAACCUCUAGUG
rnacentral:rRNA from 1 species